UCAAUAAACAACCCGGGUAUCGCACGGGCACAAAACUAGUAUCUUUAUAUAAACAAAAAUUAAAAAUCUGAUUCGAGUACAACGUGGUAUGAUCGUCUGUCUACACGAAUACACGACUACACAAGAUAAAUCCUCCGCAAGAAAAAAACAAAAAGUAAAUUGAAAAUACAAUAAUCAGGUAAUAAAAAUUUAUACACCCCACAAAUCUAAUCAAAAAAAUGAUCCGUUGGAAAUAGCGACGCUAACAGGAGAGAGAGAAACUUCAAAGAUUGUACAAACUUGAAUUCAACAAACCCUAAUUUCUUUUUGUUUUUCAUUACUCUCAAAUUCCUUUUCAAUUACUUCCCCAGAAAAAUCCCCAAAUUGAUUGAAAAUGGCUGCAAUUGAAGAUAAUAAUCCCAAAAACCCUAACCCUAGCGAAACUCCGAGGAAGAGAAGACCAAGCUUACCGGAGCUCUGGUUUAAGGAUCAGCAAUUGAAGCAUGCAAUCUUCAGAAUGCAGCAGCUUCAACAAGCUCACAGUAAUUCCAAUUCAAAUUCCAAGAAUUUGAUUUUAGGUGGUGAUCCUUUCUCUCUCUUAUCUGAUGAAUCGCUUAGUUUUAUUUUUUCUAAGGUGCCGAUUUCGCAGCAUUUUUCGAAUUCAUUGAUUUGUAAGAGGUGGUAUGUCAUUCAAGGCCAGUUAAUUCGUUCAAUUUCACUGUUUGAUUGGGAUUUUCUUGAAUCUGGGAGAUUAACUUGUCGGUUUCCUAAUUUGAGUGAGAUUAAUCUUGGUCCAGCUUGUUUUAGGAGUUGUUGGAGUUCUGGGAUUUUGAUGUCACAUAGAUUGGUUUCGAUUCAUCUCGAUUCGGAGAUUGUAAGUGAUAGUUUGGUUGGAAGUGAAGGGGUUUUGGGGUCUAGGUUGAUUGAUAGAGGGCUCAAAGUGCUUGCUGAUGGGUGUCCUAAUUUGAGCAAAUUAGUGUUGGUUAAUGCUAGUGAGAAGGGGUUAGGUUAUUUGGCUGAAAAAUGUUUGAUUUUGCAAGAGUUGGAGAUACAUUGUUGUGAGGAUAUGUCGUUGACAGCGAUUUCCGGGUUUAAGAACUUGCAGAUACUCAAAUUGGUGGGCUGUGUGGAUGGUUUGUAUGAUUCUGUAGUAACCGAUAUCGGGUUGACAAUGGUAGCUCAGGGUUGUAGGAGGUUAGUGAAGCUUGAGCUUAGUGGGUGUGAGGGUAGCUAUGAUGGGAUUAAGGCCAUUGGGCAAUGUUGUCAAAUGUUGGAAGAGUUGACUCUUUGUGGUCACAAGAUGGAUGGUGGGUGGCUGUCGGCGCUUUCGUUUUGUAGCAAUUUGAAGACAUUGAAGCUCCAGUCUUGCCAGAGUAUAGAUAGCUGCCCUGGUCCUGAUGAGCAUUUGGGCUCAUGUCCGACACUUGAGGAGCUGCACUUGGAGCGAUGCCAAGUUCGGGAUAAAGAGAGUACAAAAGCUCUGUUCUUGGUGUGUGAAUCCAUCAGAGAGAUCUCGUUGCAGGAUUGUUGGGGGUUAGAGGAUGAUAUAUUUCGUUAUGCUGUUAAUUGUAGGAGGGUGAAGUCUCUAUCUUUAGAAGGAUGUUCUCUGCUUACAACGGAAGGCUUGGAUUCAGUGGUUCAUAAAUGGACAGAGCUCCAGACACUGAAAGUGGUGUCAUGUAAUAGUAUAAAAGAUUCCGAAAUCACUGCUGAGCUGGCAACUUUGUUUUCUGUCCUGAAAGAAUUGAAGUGGAGGCCAGAUUCCAGAUCUCUACUAGCUUCAAGUCUUGCUGGCACUGGAGUGGGAAAGAAGGGUGGUAGAUUCUUCAAAAGGGUAUGAGGCUGAACUUAUAACCUGGUGGUGCAAGUCUGAACUUCAAUUGUUGUAUCUGGCUGUCUCAGACAGCCAUCAUAAAGAUGGUUAACAUGGUGGACAAGAGAAAGUAAUUGGCUUUCUGGAAGCUGCUCAGGGAGCCAUUGGCAACAUCUGUGUAAAUAUACUGUUCUUCAUGACCCCAAAUGUAUGUGGGGUUCCAAUUUAUUAGAAGUUUUAAUAAAGAUCGAUUCUGUUGUAUUUUACUUAGAAUAGUUAGAAAUGUAGAAAACUUGUAUACUUUCUGUUUCCGUUGAGUAGUUGAACCAAUUGACGGGAGGUGCUGCACUCGAAAACUCACCCCCACAUUAUUAUAUCACAACUCUGAGAAUUUGCAAAGUUGCAUACUUGACAUAAUUGUUUAAAAAUUGGCUCAGUUACCACUGAA